rfam:TPA: Bos taurus chromosome 25, whole genome shotgun sequence.
UCCCAGGUGGCUCAGAAGGUAAAGAAUCUGCCUGCAAUGUGGGAGACCCGGGUUCGAUCCCUGGGUUGGGAA